UACACUCCUACGGGAGGCAGCAGUGGGGAAUCUUGCGCAAUGGGCGAAAGCCUGACGCAGCCAUGCCGCGUGAAUGAUGAAGGUCUUAGGAUUGUAAAAUUCUUUCACCGGGGACGAUAAUGACGGUACCCGGAGAAGAAGCCCCGGCUAACUUCGUGCCAGCAGCCGCGGUAAUACGAAGGGGGCUAGCGUUGCUCGGAAUUACUGGGCGUAAAGGGAGCGUAGGCGGACAUUUAAGUCAGGGGUGAAAUCCCGGGGCUCAACCUCGGAAUUGCCUUUGAUACUGGGUGUCUUGAGUAUGAGAGAGGUGUGUGGAACUCCGAGUGUAGAGGUGAAAUUCGUAGAUAUUCGGAAGAACACCAGUGGCGAAGGCGACACACUGGCUCAUUACUGACGCUGAGGCUCGAAAGCGUGGGGAGCAAACAGGAUUAGAUACCCUAGUAGUCCCAUGA
rnacentral:rRNA from 1 species